ACCAUAUAGCGAUUUCUGGACGAAAGACUGCCCUUUGGGUAGAGUGAAUUGUGCUGGUGAACAUGAAAAGCGUAGUAUUUGUGUCUGCUAUCCGCAAAAGUAGGGCACCUUGCCUUCUUAACAAACCUCAUUAGGAUGAAUGCCUUCUUAGGAUGUGGUGGGGCAAGUAGAUGCCAAGCAAAUAAAAGUUUGCCAAACAU